UUGGUUUUCCAGCCAGCAUCAGAACCUCUGAAAGAGCCAGGGCCUGCUCUGGAGCCAGAGGCACCUGCAGCCCUGGGUCUAACACCUUAUCUAGAGCCAGCAGCAGGGCCAGCUCCAGCACCAGGGGAAAUGCCACCUCCUGUGAAUGAGCAUGAAGUAAAGUCAGCUCCAGAGGUGCCCCCACCCCUGUCCUGGGACUGCAGAGACCAAAUCCUGUGAUGAGCUGUCUGGAAUCAUGGCAUUUCCUCCCAAGCAGCUGGCAGAACAGUUGACUCUUAUGGAUGCAGUGAGCAGCUCGGCUUUCAGGGAACUGUUCAAGAAAAUGGUCCCUAUGAGUGCCUGGGCUCUAGCUGGGGCCAUCAGAACAAGAAGGAAAAGAAGUGACUGGCACCCGCUGUCUAUGCCAUCAUGACACAACCCAACAGACUGGCCAACUGCAUCCUCACCACCUGUCUUGGAAACUAAAGCCUGACAGCCUGGGACAGGGCCAGGGUGGUGGAACACUGGAUCAAAGUGGCCAAGGAAAAGCUCUAAACAAUUUCAAGAUUUUUCUAGCAAAUGCAAGGAACUGAGCAGGAAUCCACUCAUCAAGGAGAUCAAAGUGCUCCAGAAGAUGCAGCUAUUCCAGAUGGCUGUGGAAAAUUACCAUCUUCAGCCUGAGGAGCAAUUUUGGGUCUGGUUUAAUUCAGUGGAGUACUUCAGUGAAAAUGAGAGCUCCUACCUGUCCUCCCAGCUGGAGCACCCAUCUCAGCAGGCCAGCAACACCCACUCAGCACCUGCAGUGGCUGGGGCCUAUGGGUCUAUCCACCUCACAGAGCCACCAGAGCCACCAUGCCCUGCUGUACUCAUAUCUGUGGCAGCCCAUCUAACCCAAAGCCAACACCAAGGUCUCCACAGUCUUCUCACCACUCCCGAAAUCUCAAGAAUUCUGUGCCUCAGUCUCUCCUUCAGCAGCAUGGGUGUCCUCCUCCCAAACCCAGGCUGCCCAGAGCACAAGGCUAGGCAUCCAGAGCCAUCCCCAUGUGCAGCAGCCACACUGCCUGAGCACCGCUAGCUGCUCCUGGGCCACACAGCCACUCUGGAAACUAAGUGACUUUGGUCCAAUUCUCACAGACUAGUGAGACCCAACAGGUGCUCAACUAUCAGAUGCACACUGCAGGGACAUAGCAAGAGGGUUAGAACAUACCGACAACAGCCAUUGGCUCCAGCAUCCUCAUGGGGAGUGUAUAGCACCUGCUACAUCUGGGACCCCACCACAAUGUGGACAAGGAUACCAGCCCUGCAUCAUCCUUGUCCUAGAGUGUGGGCCCCAAGAGACCCCCUUCAAGUGAGGUACUUCUCAGGUCCCAGGGACUUUGUUACUGAAGACCAACUGCUCCUCCUGCCAGGAUUAAGCCCUGAAACCUCUGCAGGUGAAACAAACGUACAUCAGGCAGGUACCCAUUACUUGGCAUGCCAGAGGUGGUCACCAUCCCCCACAAGAGAUACCACGCACCCCCCACUUUAUAGGCAGAGCUGCAGAAGAUGAACCUACCCUGAACAGAAGGAUCUGACCCAGAGCCUGGGGGUCUUGCCAGAAAACCCUCCAACUGGAAGCUGGAAACUGUUCCCUUCAAGGGCAAGGAGUGAGCAUAUUCAGCUUUGCCAACUGAUCUCUGUCCACUGACUAAACAUUGCCCUGGUCUCAUAACAGCAGCCUUCCAUGGACAACCUCUAGGUGAAGAGGCAUGAUUGUAUUUCCACAGAACUUCAUUUCAGCACAUGGAAAAUUCUAAUGUCAAAGUAUUAUAAAAUUUUAUUGUUUUGAAUUGUUUCACCAUUUAUUCUUUUUGUCACUUAUUCUUUUCACUUGGGCCACGCAAGAGCAGGCAGAAGCAGGCUGCAUUCUACCCAACUCUGGUUGAAUUGGAACUCAAAUGAGGGCUGGUAGCAUGAAGCAAGCCCAGCCUCCUUACAGCACGGAUUUGACCCAGGAUAUCUGGCCAGUUGGGUCUCACGGGCCAGUUGGGUGAGGAGGCCCAGGUGGCUGGUGGUGGGGUCCUGCCUGCAGGGAAACUGGGACCCCCAUGUCACAGUCGAUGGAGGAAGCUAUCAGAGUCCUGGAAGCUGGUCAGAGCUGGAGCCACAAAGCAGGUCACUAGCUUUCAUGUCAUGAGGAGAUUCAGGCUGUCUAUGGAGCCUAUGUUGGCAUGAAACCAAGUCCUGCCAACAAUCACAUGAGUGAGAUUGGGAAAGUCCCCUGCCACUCACAAUUGUGUCUUCAGGUGAGGCCAUAGUCCUGAAGCAGUUUGACUGCAACCUGCUGAGAAAGCUUCAGCUACAUGUACCAUGUUCUGGAGGCUGAGAAGCCCAAGAUCAAGGCACCAGUAGAUUCAGGAUUUGGUGACAGCCUGCUUCCUGCUUCAUAGAUGUCUAUUUACUAUAAUCUCAUGUGAUGAAAGAAACUGUGGACCCAGAAGAAUCCUCUCCAUCUGUCAUUGUGCCAACUUGGGAGAGGAGGUGCAGCACAAA